rnacentral:rRNA from 1 species
UACGGAGGGUGCAAGCGUUAUCCGGAUUCACUGGGUUUAAAGGGUGCGUAGGUGGGCAGUUAAGUCAGUGGUGAAAUCUCCGGGCUCAACCCGGAAACUGCCAUUGAUACUAUCUGUCUUGAAUAUCGUGGAGGUAAGCGGAAUAUGUCAUGUAGCGGUGAAAUGCUUAGAUAUGACACAGAACACCCAUUGCGAAGGCAGCUCGCUAAGCCACCAUUGACGCUGAGGCACGAAAGCGUGGGUAGCAAACAGG